rnacentral:rRNA from 1 species
GCGAACGCUGGCGGCAGGCCUAACACAUGCAAGUCGAACGAACCUUUCGGGGUUAGUGGCGGACGGGUGAGUAACACGUGGGAACGUGCCUUUAGGUUCGGAAUAACUCAGGGAAACUUGUGCUAAUACCGAAUGUGCCCUUCGGGGGAAAGAUUAAUCGCCUUUAGAGCGGCCCGCGUCUGAUUAGCUAGUUGGUUGAGGUAAUGGCUCACCAAGGCGACGAUUAGUAGCUGGUCUGAGAGGAUGAUCAGCCACAUUGGGACUGAGACACGGCCCAAACUCCUACGGGAGGCAGCAGUGGGGAAUCUUGCGCAAUGGGCGAAAGCCUGACGCAGCCAUGCCGCGUGAAUGAUGAAGGUCUUAGGAUUGUAAAAUUCUUUCACCGGGGACGAUAAUGACGGUACCCGGAGAAGAAGCCCCGGCUAACUUCGUG